UCAGCAGAAAGUACAAGGGCUGCCCAAGAUUUGAAUAACUCUUCUAGCCGUUGGUCUCCAAUUUCUACUCACUGAAAAUGCUUCGCAAAACUCCAAAAUAUGUGAGGAAGAGGAAGGUGUUCAAAGGAGAUCAAUACCAGAUAUUACAGAAGAGUAACAUGAAUGCUGGAGAGGUGCCAGAAGAACUAACAGCUAAUUCAGAGAUCAAGGAAGCUUUCCCUGAAUAAGUGUUUGGACAGCCCUAUUUUUGGCCCUGGUCCCACAUGUGAAGAUCCGCGUCAUUAGUGGCCCACAACUUGCAGCUGCUUUGCAAAAGGCUCACGUGUGUCUGGGAGAUUCCUCUACCCGUCCAGAUCCAGCUAUACCUCGAUCAUCCAGAACAGCAUCAACAGCACCAAGGACCCCUUCGACAUCGACCCCAUCAACCUCCAGAACACUGUCGACCCCAACGACCCCAUUGACCUCAACAUUCAGAAAUAUGGAUGUCGAAGUUGUACCACCACAAGCUAGACAAGAUUUUGAUUCCGACUAACCCAUUCUUUAAAGGUCCAUUGCCUUAGGAAAUUAAAACUUUUAUGUCUUGUAUCAAGACCCUUUUAAAGCAACAUAAUAGCAAUUGUUUCAUAAAUAAAUGCCUCCUUAUAUUUUUUACAAAUUUUUGAAACCUCUCCAAGUUGCUCGUCUAAUGGUGGACCCCGCCCCUUACAAUUCUCAGAGUUCCUCGGAAUGAUUGACCAAAGGAUUAGUGAUGUUAUAUCAAGAACGAUCUCCGCUUAGGCAAGCUACGGUGCUUGCUAGCCAGCUCUGCAGGCAUUAUGUUUUGUACACAAACAUAAACAAUAACUUUUGUUAUUAA